rnacentral:rRNA from 1 species
AGCAGGUCAACAUUCCUGCGCCACUUGAGUGGACCGAUGGAGGGACGGCGUUUUGAAGGUGAGCGGUACGAUUAGAAAUGUCCGUGGACUGCAGCGAGGUGAGGGAUAGGCAAAUCCGCCCUCAUAAGCCAAGCUGUGGGACUGACUGCAUUUAUGUUCAGGUAAUCACCCGAAGGACGUCCAAGAAAAGCUUCUAAGGGUUGAAGCUCAAGUGACCGUACUAAAACUGACACAGGUAGGUGAGACGAGAAGUCUAAGGCGCUCGGGAGAACACUGGUUAAGGAACUCUGCAAAUUGGCCCCGUAAGUUCGCGAUAAGGGGUACCCCCGAUGGUUAACGCUUUUGGGGGUCACAGUAAAUCGGCAUCAGCGACUGUUUAUCAAAAACACAGGACUCUGCUAACACGUAAGUGGAUGUAUAGAGUCUGACGCCUGCCCGGUGUUGGUAGGUUAAGGAAGAAGGUUAGCCGUAAGGCGAAGCUUGCGACCGAAGCCCCAAUAAACGGCGGCCGUAACUAUGACGGUCCUAAGGUAGCGAAGUUCCUUGUCGGGUAAGUUCCGACCUGCAUGAAUGGCGUAACGACUGAUGCACUGUCUCAACCAGUGACCCGGUGAAAUUGUAGUCGUGGUGAAGAUGCCACGUUCCCGCAGCUAGAUGGAAAGACCCCGUGAACCUUUACUGAAGGCUGAUAUUGGGCUGUGGUAUGUUUUGCGUAGGAUAGGUGGGAGGCGAUGAUCUGGCGGCUCCGGCCGUCAGGGAGCCAUCCUUGAAAUACCACCCUGAACAUGCUUUAGUUCUAACUCUGAUUCCCGUGAAUCCGGGCAGAGGACAUUUUCAGUUGGGCAGUUUGACUGGGGCGGUCUCCUCCGAAAGAGUAACGGAGGAGUUCAAAGGUACCCUCAGCCUGGUUGGCAAUCAGGCUUCGAGCGCAAAGGUAGAAGGGUGCUUAACUGCGAGACUCAUAAGUCGAGCAGAUACGAAAGUAGGACUUAGUGAUCCGGUGGUCCCGUGUGGAAGGGCCAUCGCUCAUCAGAUAAAAGGUACUCUGGGGAUAACAGGCUUAUCGCUUCCGAGCGUCCAUAGCGGCGAAGCGGUUUGGCACCUCGAUGUCGGCUCAUCACAUCCUGGGGGUGAAGAAGCUCCCAAGGGUUUGGCUGUUCGCCAAUGAAAGUGGUACGUGAGCUGGGUUCAGACCGUCGUGAGACAGGUCGGUCCCUAUCUGCUGUGGGCGCACGAAACUUGAGGAGGUUCUUCUUUAGUACGAGAGGAUUUGGGAGGACGUACCUCUGGUGUGCCAGUUGUCGCGCUAGCGGCACGGCUGGGUAGCUACGUACGGAAAGGAUAAACGCUGAAAGCAUAUAAGCGUGAAGCCCGCUCCAAGAUCAGGUUUCGUAGAGCAAAUGCUCGAAAGUCCCCUGGAAGACGACCAGGUUAAUAGGCUGGAUGUGUACGUGGAGUAAUCCACUUAGCUAACCGGUACUAACGGACGAAUGCUUGGCCAC